UACCAAUUAGUCAUCCAAGCAACAAAUAUUCCUUGGUAAUCUGCUAUCAGAUGACAGUUUUCUCUUUGGCAUUUUUAUGAAUUAAAGCUUUCAAGGCCAAACUUCAGGUUUGCUUAGCAUAUUCGUGUACUAGAUAUCAACAAAUGUUUGAUGGUCUGUCUGGUUCAUCUCUUAACACUAUGAAGAUGGCUACACUAAGUUUAACAAGCAAACUUUCUGUUGCCAACUACCAAUUUGUCAUUCUAUCCAAGCAACUAAUAUUCCUUGGUAAUCUGCUAUCAGAUGAUUACAGUUUUCUCUUUGGCAUUUUUAUGAAUUAAAACCAAACCUUAGAUUUGGUUAGCAUAACCCUGAACUGCUUAUCAACAAAUGUCUGAUGGUCUGUCUGGUUCAUUUCUCAACACUAUGAAGAUGGCUACACGGGUAUCAGCUAUCAGCAGGCACCCCUAUGAUAUACAAGUCUUCAUUGCCAAGUCACUCUGCCAAACAGUGUGUAUACCUUUCUUGCAUAGGUAGUGACCCACUUUACUGUACUUCAAUGUCAGGAGUCUGGAUAUGUCUGGCCAAGGAGAUCAAAUUUGUGUCCAAGGUUACUUAGGUAAUUCUCUAAGAACAAUAGGUGAGUUGAAUUCUAGUGUACCAAUCAAAUAUCUUAAAGCAAAG
rnacentral:sRNA from 1 species